CAUGGAGAGUUUGAUCCUGGCUCAGGAUGAACGCUGGCGGUCUGCUUAACACAUGCAAGUCGAACGCAACCUUUCGGGGUUGAGUGGCGGACGGGUGAGUAACGCGUGAGAAUCUGCCUUCAGGUCGGGGACAACCCCUGGAAACGGGGGCUAAUACCGGAUGAGCCGAUGGGUAAAAGAUUUAUCGCCUGAAGAAGAGCUCGCGUCUGAUUAGCUAGUUGGUGGGGUAAAAGC
rnacentral:rRNA from 1 species